rnacentral:rRNA from 1 species
CGCAGCCAGCUGCGAUACGUAGUGCGAAUUGCAGACACAUUGAGCACUAAAAUUUCGAACGCACAUUGCGCCAUCGGGUUCAUUCCCGUUGGCACGUCUGGCUGAGGGUCGAAUUGCUAACUACAACGUACGUGCGGUUGGCACGUUCUGUCGGUGCGCUAGCCACUGCUGUGGCUACCGUACUCAGGGAAAAUUGUGCAAUGGUGGUACACUCCGGUGUGCGGUCGUGCGCUUGGGCCUACAUGUGUGCGUAUGUGUGCGUACUUGUACACGAACGCAUCAUAUAUAGGCGCGACCUCCACCAGCAAUGCGAGCAGUAUGCGACGACGUACGUUCGUCGACCUGCGAGGUGCACCCGAGAGCUACUGGGGAGCACGUGUAGCAGCGUCGAUGUGCGCUUGAAUGAACGUACGUACCGGGCGAUGCUCUCGGUCCGAAUGCGCUUUUGACCUCAGCUCAGUCGUGAGUACCCGCUGAAUUUAAGCAUAUAACUA